UUUUUUUUUUUUUUUUUUUUUUUUUUUUUUUUUUUACAACUCCUGUUGUUUCGGGGCCGGCCGCGCGCACCCUCGCCCUCGCCCCUCGCCCCCCGCCCCCCCACAUGCUCACACGCACCCCCGCGCGCUUCCAGACACACACUCGGCCGCUCGCAGCGAUUUUUCAUGAGUGCAAAGCUCUGCUGAACCAAAGGUCACCAUCCGAGCCACUAACAACUUCUCGCCGGCGCGCGGUUCCAAAUCAGGAAGCAAAGGGAACGAUUUGUCAGCGGCCCUGACAGCUAAGUUCAUUAAGGAUUUAAAUCUCGAGAAAUAAAAGUCGCCAAAAUAUUUACCUGCUGGCCGCGCUCGCGCGCCCGCCGCGGGGGCCGGGGGUGCAGGGGGCUGGGGGCGCCGCGCGGCCCCCCUCGGCGGGUGAUAUUCUUGGGAUCCCUGCACUUUCCAAGUCGGAGAGAGCCCUUUGCGUGGCAGAUUAAUGACGACUCCGUGUUUCUUAAGGGACGUGCUGAAUUAAUUAUUUCGCCAAUCACGUGGUCGGGACUUGUAGAAAUCUAUUCUUAUCAUCUUCCUCGCACUUUGAAAAUUCUCCGGGUUAUGGGAGGCCCUCCCCCGGCUGCCGGCGAGCCCCGGCCGCCCAGCCCGGCACGGGGGGCAGGGAGGGCUCCCCAGCAUGGCGGGAAGCGCCGUCUGCCGAGGGCCCCGAUUUACUGUACUGCACUCGAGCGGGCUCGGCUAGGGACUCGCUUCCUCCUCCUCGGCCCUGCCCGCGAUUCAGUCCACACAGCGGUAUUGAUGUAUUGGUGGGCACAGGAGGAGCCAUUAGCCAGAAGACGGGCAGAGGACAAUCAUAAAAUGGGCCUGAAUAUUUAAACUUCUGUCUGCACACUUAUAAAUACACAUGUCCACGCGUCGGAGGCCAGCCCUUCCAUAUAUUAGGGACACAUGUCUGAUUUUAUGCAUUCUGCUCAUUUCCUGUCGCGAGCCAGCUCCCCCUCCCCGCCCCCAGCUAUUCUGGGACUCCUGUCUUGGCCCACUGUGCAAGGCGAGGCCAAGACUAGAGAGACAGAAAAAAAAAAAAUAGUGCACGCCACUUUUUAUAGUGGGGAGUGUUUAUUGUCGUCUGGAGGGCAGAGGGGGCUCUAGGGGGAGGAGGGGCAGGUGCUGGAGGCCCCAGUGGGGCUGAAGGGCACAGGAAAAGUAGGAGUCCAAGAUUGGAGGCCAGAGGGGUCUGGUGGGAGCAGCCACAGGCCAGUCCCACGUGGCCCAGAACCCAGGACUCUUCCAGAGUUGGGGUGGGGGGUGGCGGGUGGGCAGGGAAGUCUCUCACCCACCACAAAGCAAAGAGAGACUCAGGGGGUCUGGGGGGGGGGGCGCUACACUGGGCCACACAGAGAGCCAACCUGGAGCCUCCUGUUAGCCUAGGAAGUUACUUAUUUUCCUUUCAAAAAAUAAUGCCCUGCAGCCUGAAUCCCAGCAUAGGCUUCCCAAUGCUCACGGAAUACGGUGGCCAAAUUGGGAGUGUGCAUGUGUGGGGGACAGGUUAAUGACAGAUUUGCUAACCCUUCCACGGUUUGACCUUCACAUGUCAGGCAUGAUGCAGAAAUUCGUAAAAUAAACUGUUUAUAUCGAAUGUUAAGGCUUUUAGAAGACUUAAUGAAGAAUGCUUCUGUGGAGGCACCAAACAGGAUGGAAGUUUCGCUACACCUUUUAUUAUUUCAAAUAUAGAUCAAUGAAUUACAUCAAAACUACAGGCAACAAUUAGUAUAAAUAAUACUUUAAUCAGUGGCAGCAGAACAUUGGUCAAUUCUAUUAAAAAAGCAUCUUGUGUGAACAGACACCAUGGGGCUGACUGACAAUGUCAUCUCCCAACAAAAGGCUGCAAUGGACAAAGUGAGAUGGGAGUCUGAGGAGCCAUGUCCUCAGCAAACACUUCACUCCUCCCCAGUCACGACCCCAACACAGCUUUAAGGAAAAAAAAAAAAAAAAAACACACAAACCACCAAAACAAACACUUCUGGCUCAUAUUUGGGGGAACAAACUGGAAACAAAUAAAAGCAAAUGGGCACUGUGCCUUUCCACAUCUAGGUUUCUGCAGAGUACGUUCCCAGAUGGAAACUCAUUUCCUUCCCUGCCCUAGGUGGUGGUGGUUGGUGGGGUGGGGGGGUGGGGGGUGGGAGGCACUACUUCUUCCCUGCCCCACUCCUGUGGGCCCAAAUGGACACCAGGGUCCGAUUGGGACCACAGGGUUGAAGGCUGCCCCCUGGGCCAUCCAGGCUCCAUUAACAUUUCAAAAGACAAUCCCUGGAAACUGAGGAGAACUGAGACUUAUAAACAAAGAAGUUGUUUCUCUGAUUUAGUUACUUUUCAAAGUAGUGGAGCUAUGUUUGAGAAGGAGCUUGGGUUUUCUUCAUCAAAACAUGCCUCUUGGCUUUCCUCUGGGGGCAUGGGUGAAGGCUGCUACAUAGUUUUGGCAUUUGGUCUGAAGCUGGGGUGAAUAACCUGAACUUCUGGGAAGGGGGAAAUCUAUAUAAUAAUCUUUAUAAUAUACAUGUAGUUGGGUGUUGUGAAAAUAUAUACUUUCCCCGCCCCCUCUCCCAAGGAGAAGGUUCAAUAUAUUCACAGGUUUGGGCUUGAGGAAAGAAUCUUAGCAACUUUCCAACUUGCCUAACGAUAGCGGCUCUUUUCAAAUGCUACAUCCAAAGACUGCUCUCCAUGUUAGAGGGGAAAAAAAAGAAGAGAAGGGUAGUUAGAGUCCAAAAGGUUAAGGGUUUAGAGGUCAGUCCUCCCGGCUGAAAUACAGCUAAUCGAAUAGAAAAUUUGUCCUCUGGAUGAACCUGAUUCUGUAAUUUAGCCGAACUUCAGUAAAAUACCUUUUCAGCUUCUCAACGUGAGGGCGUCAGAAAAAAGACGUCUUGACUAUGUAUGAACUCUUUGCUUUUUGUCAUAGAAACAAUGAUGCGAAUAAUGCAGGAAUAUCCAUCUUUAAUAUCCCGACGUGGCGAUAUUCAAGUAUUGCCAUGUGCAAGUCUGAGAGCCAGGCUCACCCCAAGGAGGAACAAAGAGCUGUCCCCAGGGUCUAAUACAAAAGACCAAGGCUUGGAAGAUACUUUAGAGAAGUGGAAUUUCAGCCUAGGGACUCCAGUGAAUACCUGCUCUUAGCUCUCAGGAGACACCAAAGAACAUGCGUGCAGAAAAAGUCUUUUUUCUCCCUCCAUUUAAAUAUAUUUUUAAAAAAAUUCUCUCUGAACCUUCUAAAGUGUUUUGAAGCACUGGUUAAAAUUAAAAAAAAAAAAAAAAAAAA
rnacentral:lncRNA from 1 species